rnacentral:rRNA from 1 species
UACGUAGGGGGCUAGCGUUGUCCGGAUUUAUUGGGCGUAAAGAGCGUGUAGGCGGCCAGGUAGGUCUGCUGUGAAAACUCGAGGCUCAACCUCGAGACGUCGGCGGAAACCAUCUGGCUAGAGUCCGGAAGAGGAGAGUGGAAUUCCUGGUGUAGCGGUGAAAUGACGCAGAUAUCAGGAAGAACACCCGUGGCGAAGGCGGCUCUCUGGGACGGUACUGACGCUGAGACGCGAAAGCGUGGGGAGCGAACAGG